AGUGAACGCUGGCGGUAGGCCUAACACAUGCAAGUCGAACGGCAGCACAGUAAGAGCUUGCUCUUACGGGUGGCGAGUGGCGGACGGGUGAGGAAUACAUCGGAAUCUACUUUUUCGUGGGGGAUAACGUAGGGAAACUUACGCUAAUACCGCAUACGACCUACGGGUGAAAGCAGGGGAUCUUCGGACCUUGCGCGAUUGAAUGAGCCGAUGUCGGAUUAGCUAGUUGGCGGGGUAAAGGCCCACCAAGGCGACGAUCCGUAGCUGGUCUGAGAGGAUGAUCAGCCACACUGGAACUGAGACACGGUCCAGACUCCUACGGGAGGCAGCAGUGGGGAAUAUUGGGCGAUGGGCGCAAGCCUGAUCCAGCCAUACCGCGUGGGUGAAGAAGGCCUUCGGGUUGUAAAGCCCUUUUGUUGGGAAAGAAAAGCAGCAGGUUAAUACCCCGCUGUUCUGACGGUACCCAAAGAAUAAGCACCGGCUAACUUCGUG
rnacentral:rRNA from 1 species